CCGAGAGGGCUGCUGAGCAGGUUAUUCCGAUAUAAUAAAUUGUAAGAUGUGUUAUCUUCCUC
rnacentral:tRNA from 1 species